rnacentral:rRNA from 1 species
CCUACGGGAGGCAGCAGUGGGGAAUAUUGCGCAAUGGGCGAAAGCCUGACGCAGCGACGCCGCGUGAGGGAUGAAGGUCUUCGGAUCGUAAACCUCUGUCAGCAGGGAAGAACGGUCACUGUGCUAAUCAGCAGUGAAUUGACGGUACCUGCAAAGGAAGCACCGGCUAACUCCGUGCCAGCAGCCGCGGUAAUACGGAGGGUGCGAGCGUUAAUCGGAAUUACUGGGCGUAAAGCGCUCGUAGGCGGUAUGUCAAGUCAAGGGUGAAAUCCCCGCGCUCAACGUGGGAACUGCCUUUGAAACUGGCAAACUGGAGUGUGUGAGAGGAUAGUGGAAUUCCAGGUGUAGGAGUGAAAGCCGUAGAUAUCUGGAGGAACAUCAGUGGCGAAGGCGACUAUCUGGCACAUAACUGACGCUGAGGAGCGAAAGCGUGGGUAGCAAACAGGAUUAGAUACCCUAGUAAUC